rnacentral:lncRNA from 1 species
AAAACAGAUAUGUGCAACUCCAGCUUGGUUUCCACAUCCCAUGAUGUUGAGGAGUCUUGGGAUGAUGAAUUCCAACAACUGGUGCAAACCUUCCCUAAAGAUAAAAGCUUCACAGGAAUGACUCUUUACUUCUUCCAAGGUUUCUGGUGCCCAUCAAUUAUUUUAAAAGAUGUGAUUUCUUGUCAGAAACAUUUCCAAGCAUUUGAUUCUAAUAUUAUCAUUGCCACUUUGCCAAAAUGUGGCACUACUUGGCUUAAAGCUUUGACUUUCUCCACUUUGUACCGCAAUCAGUUCGCAAGGGAAAAUAAUCCCUUGCUCACCUAUAACCCUCACUCUCUUGUUCGCUUCAUUGGUUAUGACUUCUAUUUCAACGACAGUUGUCCUGAUCUCGAAAAUUGUACACUUUAUCAGCCAAGACUUUUUUCUAUCCACUUGCCUUAUGCUUCUUUGCCAACUUCCAUUAAAGAUUCCAACUAUAAGAUUGUUUACUUAUGUAGAAACCCCAUGGACACACUCAUUUCUUUUUGGUCUUUCUUUUCCAGGCUUUGAGGUGAAGGCUUUGAGCCAGUAUCACUAGACGAAGCUUUUGAGAUGUUCUGCCAAGGAAUCAUUCAAUUUGGACCAUUUUUCGAUCAUGUGUUAGGGUAUUAGAGGGCAAGCCAAGAAAGAUCGAGCAAAAUAUUGUUUUUACAGUAUGAAUAUCUCAAGGAAGACAUCAAUUCUCACCUAAAAAAGUUGGCAAUGUUUUUGGGGGUUCCUUUCACUGAGGAAGAAGAGAAACAAGGAGUUGUUGAAGAAAUUGCGAAAAUUUGCAGCUUUGAGAACAUGAAAGACUUGGAAGUGAAUAAGAAGGGCAUGCAAACUUUUGGGUAUCCACAAGAAACUUUCUCAAGGAAAACAAAGACUUUUGAGGUUCCAUGUGAAGCUUUCUUCAGAAAAGCAAAAAUGGGAGAUUGGAGCAAUUAUCUCACACCCUUCAUGGUUGAACGUCUAGAGAAACUUAUUAAAGAGAAAUUGGAAAACUCUGGUUUAACAUUUAAAUUGUUCUCUAAAACUUCAAAAGAUAUUACUUCUACAUGAUCAGGGAUGUAUGUCUAUUGGCUUUAAUUUAUGAUGAAUAAAUUCCAUAUUUGCAUGUAGAGAGUCUUUCCCUCGCAAAAUAAGGUUAUAUAAUAAUAUUGAGGUUAAGAUAUGCUUUUAGUCCCUAUGUCUAUCCAGAAUUUGAGAUUUAGUUACUAUAUUUUAAAACUUAAAAUUUUAAGCCUCUUAUUUUUUCAAUUUAACGAGUUUAAUCUAAUCAUUAUCAUUGUUUGUAAUUUCUGUCAAGACUUGUCAACUUAAUAUGUUUCUUUUUUUGUCAAUCAUGUGCAAUGUCAUAAGAAGGCAAUCUAAUUAGCAUGCCGAAUUGGCAAAUUUUGAUGGGAAAUACUAAUAAUGUUAAUGAUUGGAUUGAAAUUUUUAAAUAAAAAAUUAAAAGAAUUUCACUAUCAACUAUUUAAAUAUAAUGACUAAAUUUCAGAUCUUGUCUAUAUAUAGGGACCCAAUAUUAUUCCAAGGACAUGUAAUAUAGUUAUCUUAUUGUAAGGUUAUGGUUUACGAAUAUCUAUAUAUCUAGAUAUAAUAAAACCAACUCGUUUGAGAGCCCACUAGGAAUAAAUGGUGCUAUUGUGAUAAGUUGUUAAGAGUAAAUAAGUUUAUUGUUGUGAUUUUAAAUUAUUUUUCACAUAAUUUUUGUAAUUGAUUAUCUGUUUAAAAUUGUUAAGUAAAAAAAAACUAAAGAGAUUUUCUCAAAAAUAAAACCAAUUAACUAAUCACGCAAAGUAACCAAAAACAUAUCACCACUUCGCUUAUGCAAAGACUCAAAAACGGGACUAAAGAAUAUAGAGAAGCUUAACUAGUGAAUCAACAGGCUUAUUCUUGAUACAAAAGACAGAGAAUUGAACGUAAAGAAGGGACCUAGGCUAAGGUUCAAAUAAAUAAAUUACAAAUUACAAAAUUAGUACAACUUGAAUCUCAAUCACAAGUAAGCAAACAAAACACACAACCACAAAAGCAUAUAUAUAUAUAUAUAUAUUUAUUUGUUUAGCUCUAUUAUUAUUAUUAUUAUUAUUUUGUUUAACUUUAUCAUCAAUCAGAUUUCCCUUUCCAUACCCUACCAACCACCACCUGCUGUUGUGUUCAGUGUUACCAGAUUUACUCUAGUCUUCCUCUCCACAUUCUUUCAAUACAUCUCAUUUACUUGUCUGCAAUAUUUUCUCUUUCCAUAACAAAAAAAAAACUCUCUAGACACUAUUAAUGAUUUAAUGGAAUAAUAAUCAAAAUAUUGAAUGCGGAUAGCAUUAGAGACAAAAAUAAUUUUUUUUAGACUUGAAUGAUAAACUAAAACACUUUAAUUAAUAAUUAAGCGAAUACUGGUCUAUAUCUAAAAGUUAAAAAAUAUAAAAACAAAUUUUAUUAAUCAAAUAAUAUCUUAAAAGGAUAACGAACGCAAACAUAUGUUCACAAUCAUUGCACAAAUGAAUUUAAUAAUGCAAUUCAGCAUUAAAGUUUAAUAAUGCAACCAUUCGGCUAAAGACGAAGAUAAUUUCAGUGGUGCAAGAUCUUCUGUAUCCCACAGCAUUAAAUUUUGAUUGCAUUUCCCGUUUGAUAAUAUAAAAUAAAGGAGAUGAUGACCCAAUUUUUAAACGUUUUUAUUUUAGGUAAUAAAAAAAAGUUGUUGAUUAUUUUGACUACUUCCUUUAAAAUUGUAAAUGAAAAUAUAUAUGAAAUUAAUUUUAAAAUUUAGAUUUUUCACACAAUUUAAAAAAAAUAAAAAUUUACCAUUUUAGUCUUCAAUCUUUUAAUAUAAGUGAGGUUUAACUCUUUUCUUAACAAAUUGGGAAUAACAACCACAUCAUCUAUGAAAAAUGGCCUCCUCUUUCAUCUGCUUCGUUGAUUGGAGCAAUGCGUCAUCGUUGCCGCUAACUCUUUGUGGUAGAGGUGACAAAAGUUCGAAAAAAAAUUAAAGGAUAGUAUUAAAACAUCAGACUCAAGAAGGAAAAGAAGAUUGAAAAUAGUCUUUUUUUACGUGUAUAUUAUAAAAAAAAUUAAUAUCAAAACGUUAACAGUGCGCGCGUCACCGUCGACGCUGACUCUUUGUAGUAGAGGUGACAAAAAAUAAAAAAAAAUUAAAAGAUAGUAUUGAAACAUCAAAUUCAAAAAGAAAAAAAAAGAUUGAAAAUAUUAAAUACAAUGUUGAAGUUUCCAAGUCUACCAUUCGCCUCUUCACUUCAAGAUGAUUUACAAAUAAUUUUCUUUUAAAGUCUAUGCUUUUUCUCUUUUUUGUAAUAGUUGUAAUAGUAAAGCUAGAAUUUUUAUACAAAUUUCUAGAUUUUUUAUAUUUGUGAGGAUUUAAGUUUUAGGCAUGGGUUAUUUUUUCUGAAAACUUUGUUAAGUGCUUUGAAUGGUUGCCAAUUCCCCCAUGCCUCUAAUAUUUACAUAACAACAAUGAAAACUCUAAUUAUUAUAUGCCACAAUUAUUACUAGUUAAGGAAGCAGAGCAUGUUAUUUAUGCCCUAAAGACAUUGGAAUUUACUGUGAAUUUUUCAAAUGGUUGUUGUUCUCAAUUUGUUAAGGUGAGAGGUAAACCUCGUUUAUAUAAAAAUAUUGGGACAAAAAUGAACAUUUUUAUAUUAUUUAAAUACCUGAAAAAUUAAAAUUUUAGAAAUAAUUUCACGUUAGAUCUCUGUUCACCAUUUUAAUAUAAGUGAGUAAACUAAUCCAACACAUAUACCUAUUUUUUCGGAUGGCUAAAAUAAAAACAUUUGAAAAUUGGGCGUUUACCCUAAAAUAAAUUAUUAAAACAUAAAAUAUUUGAUAUGGUCUCUUUUUGGUCUACUCCACAAAACUUGCUACAUAAACAGAAAACUAGUUUUGAAUGUUGUUUUUCUUAUCCCUUUCUCAACCAGCUGCCUGUUUCACCAUGGAGAAAACAGAUAUGUGCAACUCUAGCGUCGUUUCCACCUCCCAUGAUGUUGAGGAGUCUUGCGAUGAUGAAUUCCAACAACUGGUGCAAACCUUCCCUAAAGAUAAAAGCUUCACAGGAAUGAAUCUUUACUUCUUCCAAGGUUUCUGGUGCCCAUCAAUUAUUUUAAAAGCUGUGAUUUCUUGUCAGAAACAUUUCCAAGCAUUUAAUUCUGAUAUUAUCAUCGCCACUUUGCCAAAAUGUGGCACUACUUGGCUUAAAGCUUUGACUUUCUCCACUUUGUACCGCAAUCAGUUCGCAAGGGAAAAUAAUCCCUUGCUCACCUAUAACCCUCACUCUCUUGUUCGCUUCAUUGAUUUUGACUUUUAUUUCAACGACACUUGUCCUGAUCUCGAAAAUUAUACUCUUUAUCAGCCAAGACUUUUUUCUAUCCACUUGCCUUAUGCUUCUUUGCCAACUUCCAUUAAAGAUUCCAACUGUAAGAUUGUUUAUUUAUGUAGAAACCCCAUGGACACGCUCAUUUCUUUUUGGUCUUUCCUUUCCAGGCUUCGAGGCGAAGGCUUUGAGCCAGUAUCACUAGAUGAAGCUUUUGAGAUGUUCUGCCAAGGAAUCAAUGAAUUUGGACCAUUUUUCGAUCAUGUGUCAGGGUAUUGGAGGGCAAGCCAAGAAAAAUCGAGCAAAAUAUUGUUUUUACAAUAUGAAGAUCUUAAGGAAGACAUCACUUCUCACCUAAAAAAGUUGGCAAUGUUUUUGGGGGUUCCUUUCACUGAGGAAGAAGAGAAACAAGGAGUUGUUGAAGAAAUUGCGAAAAUUUGCAGCUUUGAGAACAUGAAAGACUUGGAAGUGAAUAAGAAAGGUGAGCAAACUUUUGGGUAUCCACAAGAAACUUUCUCAGGGAAAACAAAGACUAUUGAGAUUCCACGUGAAGCUUUCUUCAGAAAAGCAAAAACGGGAGAUUGGAGCAAUUAUCUCACACCCUCCAUGGCUGAACGUCUAGAGAAACUUAUUCAAGAGAAAUUGGAAAACUCAAGUUUAACAUUUAAAUUGUUCUCUAAAACUUCAAAAGAUAUUACUUCUACAUGAUCAGGGAUGUAUGUCUAUUGGCGUUAAUUUAUGAUGAAUAAAUUCCAUAUUUGCAUGUAGAGAGUCUUUCCCUCGCAAAAUAAGGUUAUAUAAUAAUAUUGAGGUUAAGAUAUGCUUUUAGUCCCUAUAUUUAUCCAGAACUUGAGAUUAAGUUACUGUAUUUUAAAAGUAAAAAUUUUAAGCCUCUUACUUUUUCAAUUUAAAGAUUUUAAUCUAAUCAUUAUCAUUAUCAUUAUCAUUGUUUGUAAUUUCCGUCAAGACUUGUCAACUUAACAUGUUUAUAUUUUUGUCAGUCAUGUGCAAUGUCAUAAGAGGGCAAUCUAAUUAGCAUGACGAGUAGGCAAAUUUUGAUGAAAAAUACUAAUAAUGUUAAUGAUAGGAUUGAAAUUUUUAAAUAAAAAAUUAAAAGAAUUUCACCUUCAACUAUUUAAAUAAUUUUAAUCUUAUAUUUGUUUAAGUUUACGUUUUGAUCAUCGAUCUUUCAAGUGUUACAUAAAUGUCAUGGACAUUAUCGUUUGAUAACAAUUUAGUCACUAUAUCGUUACCCAUUGUUAUUUUAGCAAAGAUGCUAUAAUAAUACAUAAUCCAUAGCGAUUUGCAAGUUCAAAGGAUAUAAUCUUGCAUAUAUAUAUAUAUAUAUAUAUAUUAGUUUGUAUUUUGUGUGAUGCUUGAAUUGGUUGUGUAUAUUAAUUAUCCAGUUUUGUAACUUCCUUUUUCAAAAAUCUAUAAAGAGAAGUCCUCCACAACUAGUGGAGAGACCUUUGGAUAUUUUGGAAAUUUGACUCUCGAGCUCUAUCUAAAAUUCUCUCAACUUAUUAUUAUUUUUGUUUAGCUUUAUCAUCAAUCAGAUUUAGCUUUCUAUACCCUAUCAACCACCACCACUUGCUGUUGCGUUCAGUAUUACUAGAUUUACUCUAGUCUUUCUCUUCACCUUCUUUCAAUACAUCUCAUUUACUUGUCUGCAAUGUUUUCUCUAUCCAUUAAAAAAAUUCUCUACACACUAUUAAUGAUUUAAUAGAAUAAUAAUCAAAAUAUUGAAUGCGGAUAGCAUUAGAGACAAAAAUAAAUUUUUUUAGACUUGAAUGAUAAAUAAAACACUUUAAUUAAUAAUUAAGCGAAUACUGGUCUAUAUCUAAAAGUUAAAAAAAAUAAAAACAAAUUAUAUUAAUCAAAUAAUAUCUUAAAAAGGAAUUUAAUAAUGCAACCUUUUGGCUAAAGAUAAAGAUAAUUUCAGCAUUAAUGUUUAAUAAUGCAACCUUCUGGCAAAAGAUGAAGAUAAUUUCAGCAUUAAAGUUUAAUAAUGCAACCAUUCGGCUAAAGACGAAGAUAAUUUCAGUGGUGCAAGAUCUUCCGUAUCCCACAGCAUUAAAUUUUGAUUGCAUCUCCCAUUUGAUAAUAUAAAAUAAAGGGGAUGAUGACCCAAUUUUUAAACGUUUUUAUUUUAGGUAAUAAAAAAAGGUUUUUCAUUAUUUUAACUACUUCCAUUAAAAUUUUAAAUCAAAAUAUAUAUGAAAUUAUUUUUAAAAUUUUGAUUUUUCACACAAUUUUAAAAAAAUAAAAAUUUACCAUUUUAAUCUUCGAUCUUUUAAUAUAAGUGAGGUUUCUCAACAAAUUGGGAACAAUAACCACAUCAUCUAUCAAAUAUGGCCUCCUCUUUCAUCUGCUUCGUUGAUUAGAGCAAUGCGUCACCAUCAACGCUGACUUUUUGUAGUAGAGGUGACAAAAAAUCGAAAUAAAAAAUUAAAAGAUAGUAUAGAAACAUCAAAUUCAAAAAGAAAAAGAUUAAAAAUAUUAAAGACAAUGUCAAAGUUUCCAAGUCUACUAUUCCCCUCUUCACUUCAAGAUGAUUUACAAAUAAUUUUCUUUUAAAGUCAAUGCUUUUUCUCUUUUUUGUAAUAACUGUAAUAGUAAAGCUAGAAUUUUAUACAAAUUUUUGGAUUUUUUUAUAUCUGUGAAGAUUUAAGUUUUAGGCAUGGGUUAUUUUUUUGGAUACUGUUGUUAAGUGCUUUGAAUGGUUGCCAAUUCCCCCAUGCCUCUAAUAUUUGCAUAAGAACAAUGAAAACCCUAACUAUUAUAUGCCACAAUUAUUACUAGUUAAGGAAGCAAAGCAUGCUAUUUAUGCCCUAAAGACAUUAGAAUUUACUGUGAAUUUUUUACAGAGGAUAUGGUUGUUGUUCUCAAUUUGUUAAGGUGAGGUAAACCUCAUUUAUAUAAAAAGAUUGGGACUAAAAUGAUGAUUUUUAUUUCAUUUAAAUAUGUGAAAAAUCAAAAUUUUAGAAAUAAUUUCACGUUAGAUCUCUAUUUAUCAUUUUAACAAGAGUAAUUAAACUGAUCCAACCAGUGUAACUAUUUUUUCGGAUGCUUAUCUUUAAAACUUUUGAAAAUGAGGCGUUUACCCUAAAAUAAAUUAUUAAAGCAUAAAAUAUUUGAUAUGGUCUUUUUUGGUCCGCCCCACAAAACUUGCUAUAUAAAUAGAAAACUAGUUUUGAAUGUUGUUUUCCUUAUCCCUUUCUCGACCAACUACUUGUUUCACCAUGGAUAAAAUAGAUAUGAGCAACCCCAGCAUGGUUUCCACCUCCCAUGAUGUUGAGGAGUCUUGGGAUGAUGAAUUCCAACAACUGGUGCAAACCUUCCCUAAAGAUAAAAGCUUCACAGGAAUGAAUCUUUACUUCUUCCAAGGUUUCUGGUGUCCAUCAAUUGUUCUAAAAGCUGUGAUUUCUUGUCAGAAACAUUUCCAAGCAUUUGAUUCUGAUAUUAUCAUCGCAACUUUGCCAAAAUGUGGCACUACUUGGCUUAAAGCUUUGACUUUCUCCACUUUGUACCGCAAUCAGUUCGCAAGGGAAAAUAAUCCCUUGCUCACCUAUAACCCUCACUCUCUUGUUCGCUUCAUUGAUUAUGACUUCUAUUUCAACGACACUUGUCCUGAUCUCGAAAAUUGUACUCUUUAUCAGCCAAGACUUUUUUCUAUCCACUUGCCUUAUGCUUCUUUGCCAACUUCCAUUAAAAAUUCCAACUGUAAGAUUGUUUACUUAUGUAGAAACCCCAUGGACACGCUCAUUUCUUUUUGGUCUUUCUUUUCCAGGCUUCGAGGCGAAGGCUUUGAGCCAGUAUCACUAGAUGGAGCUUUUGAGAUGUUCUGCCAAGGAAUCAAUGAAUUUGGACCAUUUUUCGAUCAUGUGUCAGGGUAUUGGAGGGCAAGCCAAGAAAAAUCGAGCAAAAUAUUGUUUUUACAAUAUGAAGAUCUUAAGGAAGACAUCACUUCUCACCUAAAAAAAUUGGCAAUGUUUUUGGGGGUUCCUUUCACUGAGGAAGAAGAGAAACAAGGAGUUGUUGAAGAAAUAGCGAAAAUUUGCAGCUUUGAGAACAUGAAAGACUUGGAAGUGAAUAAGAAGGGCGUGCAAACUUUUGGGUAUCCACAAGAAACUUUCUUAGGGAAAAUAAAGACUUAUGAGAUUCCACGUGAAGCUUUCUUUAGAAAAGCAAAAGUGGGAGAUUGGAGCAAUUAUCUCACACCCUCCAUGGUUGUACGUCUAGAGAAACUUAUUCAAGAGAAAUUGGAAAACUCAGGUUUAACAUUUAAAUUGUUCUCCAAAACUUCAAACGAUAUUACUUCUACAGAAUGAGGGAUGUAUGUCUAUUGGCUUUAAUUUAUGAUGAAUAAAUUCCAUAUUUGCAUGUAGAGAGUCUUUCCCUCGCAAAAUACGGUUAUAUAAAAAAAUUGUGGUUAAAAUAUGCUUUUAGUCCCUAUAUUAUCUAGAAUUUGAGAUUUAGUUACUGUAUUUUAAAAGUGAAAAUUUUAAGCCUCUUGCUUUGUUAAUUUAAAAAUUUUAGUCUAAUCAUUAUCUCUUUUUGUAAUUUCUAUGAAAACUUGUCAACUUAACAUGUUUAUUUUUUUGUCAAUCAUGUGCAAUGUCAUAAGAGGGUAGUCUAAUUAGCAUGCGAAGUUUGCAAAUUUUGAUGAAAAAUACUAAUAAUAUUAAUGAUUGGAUUAAAAUUUUUAAAUUAAAAAAAUUAAAAGAAUUUAGUUUUCAACUAUUUAAAUAUAAUGACUAAAUUUCAGAUCUUGUCUAAAUACAGGGACCUAAUAUUAUUCCAAGGACAUGUAAUAUAGUUAUCUUAUUGUAAGGUUAUGAUUUAUGAAUAUCUAUAUAUCUAGAUGUAAUAAAACCAACUCGCUUGAGAGCCGAGUAGGAAUAAAUAGGGGUAUUGUGAUAAGUCGUUGAGAGUAAAUAAGUAUAUUGUAGUGAUUUUAAAUUAUUUUUCACAUAAUUUUAGUUAAUUGAUUAUCUGUUUAAAAAUGUUAAAAACUUCAUCAAUUAAGUAAUAUUUUUAUAAUUGAAAAAUAUUCAUUCUAUAAAUUCCCCCUUCGCCAAUUGGUACUCACUCUUCUCUUUUAGGUAGAAUUUCUCUUCUUCCGUUACCAUUUUUUUACUUGGCUGAACUAUCAAAAAAUUUUGCUUAUUUAUUUUCAUCAAUUUAUGGGUAAUAAAACCGCCUCCUUUCAGAAUCAUUAGGAAUAAAUAGGAUUAUUGUAAUCAUUUAUUGGGAGUAAUAAACGUAUUGUGUCAUAUUAAAUUAAUUUUAUUUAUUUAAAAAAUUCAAAAAUCAAUUUCAACUCAAAACAUUUUAUUUAUUCUCAUUAAACAUCAAAUAAAAUUUCAAUUUUUUAUUAUUUUAACAUAAUCAAUAUUAACUAACCAAAUUUCGUAAUGGUUUUGAUAUUCUAUCUCAACAUUAAACUUUUUUCAUUGUUACUAAUUUUCAUGUGUAUAAAUAACACAUUUACUUCUUAUACAUAUUUCUAUUAUCGUUUUUAUUUGGGAUAUUUAUAAAUGUUUCAAAAAAAAUCAUAUUUAUCAGUUUUUUAUUUGCAUAAAAAUUACUAAAUAUAUUUGUAUAAUAUUUGUCAAAAAAUUGAUUAAAUGUGCAUAAUCAAUAGUUUUAGAAAAAGUUGAAGUAAUUAUAGUUUUUAUAAAUUUAUUAGUACAUGUUUAAUUUGAUUAAAUUUAUUUUGAAUUUUACUAUAUAUUAUAAUUAACUUAAAAAUUUUAAAAAUACUAAAUAAUAAGUUAAUAUAAUAUAUGUUGAUAAUAAAUAUUAGAAUAAUAACCUACAAAUAUCACACCUAAUUAGGAUUUAUAUCUUUUAAAUUUGGAUUUCCAUUCCUUUUAGCGUAAGAGAAAUUAAAAUUUUACAAGUUAGAAGGUAAAUAUAAUUUAAAGCAUUUUUAAUUAUAAUCUCAAUUAAAAAUAUUUUGAAUUUAAAUUAUUAUAAAAUAUUUGGUUUGAAGUAUCUAAAGAGACAAAAAGACAAUCUUAUAGUUUGUAAGAUGCAAAUAGUUUGAUUAUCAUCAUAAUUAUUGAUUCUAAAUAUGUGCAUUGUAUAGGGAUAGAUUAAUUAUAAUCGUGAAAUGUAUUUGUACUUUAAAAACAAAAUAACUUCAUAAGAAUAUCAUGAUAUAUACUAAAUUUCUUAGAAUGCUCAAAUGAUUAUUUUAUUUUAAACAUAAUUAAAUCAAUUAUUUUUUAUUUUAAUUCAUGAUAUGCGCAAUGCGCGGAAUAGUCCUAUACCAAAUUUGGUUCAGUGUAAUGGAAUAGAGCUAUAAUAGAACAAAACUGUAAUACCAAUUUAAUUGUUUAGUUGAAUGGAAUGGAAUAGAACUGUAAUAGUAUUCUUGUGUUUGGUUGAAUGGAAUGCAUUUUUUAUAUCUGUGAGUAUUUAAGUUUUAGGCAUGGGUUAUUUUUUCUGGAAACUGUCGUUAAGUGCUUUGAGUGGUUGCCAAUUCCUCCAUGCCUCUAACAUAAGAACAAUGAAAACCCUAACUAUUAUAUGCCACAAUUAUUACUAGUUAAGGAAGCAAAGCAUGUUAAUUAUGCCCUAAAGACAAUAUUGGAAUUUACUGUGAAUUUUUCACAAAGGAUAUGGUUGUUGUUCUCAAUUUGUUAAGGUGAGAGGUAAACCUCAUUUAUAUAAAAAGAUUGGGACUAAAAUGAACAUUUUUAUUUUAUUUAAAUACGUGAAAAAUCAAAAUUUUAGAAAUAAUUUCACAUUAGAUCAUUGUUUACCAUUUUAUUAGGAGUGACUAAUCCAACACGUGUACCUACUUUUUCGAAUAUCUAUAAUAAUUUUUUUUGAAAAUUUGGCGUUUACCCUAAAAUAAAUUAUUAAAAAAUAAAAUAUUUGACAUGGUCUCUUUUUGGUCUGCUCCACAAAACUUGCUAUAUAAACAGAAAACUAGUUUUGAAUGUUGUUUUUCUUAUCCCUUUCUCGACCAACUGCUUGUUUCACCACGGAGAAAACAAAUAUGUGCAACUCCAGAUUGGUUUCCACAUCCCAUGAUGUUGAGGAGUCUUGGGAUGAUGAAUUCCAACAACUGGUGCAAACCUUCCCUAAAGAUAAAAGCUUCACAAGAAUGAAUCUUUACUUCUUCCAAGGUUUCUGGUGCCCAUCAAUUGUUUUAAAAGCUGUGAUUUCUUGUCAGAAACAUUUCCAAGCAUUUGAUUCUGAUAUUAUUAGCGCCACUUUGCCAAAAUGUGGCACUACUUGGCUUAAGCUUAAAGCUUUGACUUUCUCCACUUUGUACCGCAAUCAGUUCGCAAGGGAAAAUAAUCCCUUGCUCACCUAUAACCCUCACUCUCUUGUUAUCUUCAUUGAUUAUGACUUCUAUUUCAACGACACUUGUCCUGAUCUC